UACGGAGGAUCCGAGCGUUAUCCGGAUUUAUUGGGUUUAAAGGGUGCGUAGGCGGGUUGAUAAGUCAGUGGUGAAAGGUUUGCGCUUAACGUAGACAUUGCCAUUGAAACUGUCAGUCUUGAGUACAAAUGAGGUAGGCGGAAUGUGUUGUGUAGCGGUGAAAUGCAUAGAUAUGACACAGAACACCAAUUGCGAAGGCAGCUUACUGGGAUGUAACUGACGCUGAGGCACGAAAGCGUGGGGAUCAAACAGG
rnacentral:rRNA from 1 species